rnacentral:rRNA from 1 species
AGAGUUUGAUCCUGGCUCAGAACGAACGCUGGCGGCAUGCCUAACACAUGCAAGUCGAACGCCCUGGGCAACCAGGGAGUGGCGGACGGGUGAGUAACACGUGGGUAAUCCACUCUUUGGUGGGGAAUAACCCUGGGAAACCGGGGCUAAUACCGCAUAAGCUCGAAAGAGGAAAGGUGAAAAUCGCCGAAGAAGGAGCCCGCGGCUGAUUAGCUAGUUGGUGGGGUAAAGGCUCACCAAGGCGAAGAUCGGUAGCCGGCCUGAGAGGGCACACGGCCACACUGGCACUGAAACACGGGCCAGACUCCUACGGGAGGCAGCAGUGGGGAAUCUUGCACAAUGGGGGAAACCCUGAUGCAGCGACGCCGCGUGAGCGAUGAAGCCCUUCGGGGUGUAAAGCUCUUUCGGCAGGAACGAUAAUGACGGUACCUGAAGAAGAAGCUGCGGCUAACUACGUGCCAGCAGCCGCGGUAAUACGUAGGCAGCGAGCGUUGUUCGGAGUUACUGGGCGUAAAGCGUGCGUAGGCGGUUUUGUAAGUUUGGUGUGAAAUCUCCCGGCUCAACUGGGAGGGUGCGCCGAAAACUGCAAGGCUGGAGUGUGGGAGAGGUAGGCGGAAUUCCUGGUGUAGCGGUGAAAUGCGUAGAUAUCAGGAGGAACACCUGUGGUGUAGACGGCUUACUGGACCAUGACUGACGCUGAGGCACGAAAGCGUGGGGAGCAAACAGGAUUAGAUACCCUGGUAGUCCACGCCCUAAACGAUGCAUACUUGGUGUGGGCAGUUCAUUCUGUCUGUGCCGGAGCUAACGCGUUAAGUAUGCCGCCUGGGGAGUACGGUCGCAAGGCUGAAACUUAAAGGAAUUGACGG